GUCUUUGUAGCUCAGUUGGUAGAGCAAUUGACUCUUAAUCAAUGGGUCCAGGGUUCGAGUCCCUGCAAGGACA
rnacentral:tRNA from 1 species